rnacentral:tRNA from 1 species
GGCGGAUGUAKCCAAGUGGAUCAAGGCAGU